rnacentral:rRNA from 1 species
CGGCCGCGUCGACUGCUAAAGACCGUAAAGGCGACGUAUAGGGGCUGAUGCCUGCCCAAUGCCGGAAUGUUAAGGGGAGGUGUUAGGCGCAAGCCAAAGCACCGAACUGAAGCACCGGUCAAUGGCGGCCGUAACUAUAACGGUCCUAAGGUAGCGAAAUUCCUUGUCGGGUAAGUUCCGACCUGCACGAAUGGUCAUAACGACUUGAACGCUGUCUCAACGUGGGACUCGGCGAAAUUGUAUUACGAGUGAAGAUGCUCGUUUCUCAUAGCAAGACGGAAAGACCCUGUGGAGCUUUACUGUAGCUUGGCAUUGAGUCGUUAGGAACAAAUGCAGAGGAUAGGUAGGAGCCGAUGAGGCGUCCCUUUCGGGGGGCGCGGAAGCACCCGUGGAAUACUACCUUUUGUCUGACGGCCCUAACUCUAACCCUUAUCGGGUUCGGAACAUUGCCAGGUGGGCAGUUUGGACUGGGGCGGUCGCCUCCGUAAACGGUACGGAGGCGUUCAAAGGUUCCCUCAGGCCUGGUUGGCAAUCGAGGUGGCGAGUGCAAGUGUACAGGGANCGUUGACUGG